UACGUAGGUGGCGAGCGUUGUCCGGAUUUAUUGGGCGUAAAGCGCGCGCAGGCGGUCCGUUACGUCCGUUGUGAAAGCUCCCGGCUCAACUGGGAGAGGUCUUCGGAUACGGGCGGACUCGAGGAAGGUAGAGGAAGGUGGAAUUCCCGGUGUAGUGGUGAAAUGCGUAGAGAUCGGGAGGAACACCAGUGGCGAAGGCGGCCUUCUGGGCCUUUCCUGACGCUGAGGCGCGAAAGCGUGGGGAGCGAGCCGG
rnacentral:rRNA from 1 species